GGUGUGGCUCCAAAAAGAUCUUCGUGUCUCCUGGGAGAAAAUUUUUAGGCUUAAGCAUUCGGGAAGCACAGUUGUUAAUACAAUCCAAGGGAAAGUCGGCUAGUGGUUACAAGAUCCCAGAGUUUGGUCCAACAAAGACUAGUCAUUUACAUGACUGGCUUUUGGACAUGCAGGAAUCGGAUCAGAGUAGCAUUCUCAGGAUUAGAUC
rnacentral:lncRNA from 1 species